UGCAUGUCCAAAAUUAAUAGUAAAAUAUAAAUUAAGAAGAAAAACUUUGAGUUUUAAACUUAAACCACUUGCGGUUCGUGAGAUUUUUUUUUUUUGUAUUUCGACAUUUUGUGAAAAGUGAUUUUCAGAAUUUAGUUGAUAAUGGCUUCGACCUCUGAUGUCCCCGUAGACUUCCAAAAAGUUGGAUUGUUUCGUGCACUCGUGUCAUAUGCAUGGGUUCCAUUUCAGUUUUUCUCAGGUCUCAUCAUUAACGCAAUCAUGCAAUUUUGGCCGGACGUGUUACCAUUCGUAAAAGGACUAAUAUCAUCUGAAAACACAAUUUUCCGUAACUAUGGAUCUUCCAGAAAAAUAGGAAAGGCGAGGAAAAUCAAUUCAACGACAAAGUUCCGAUCAGGCGUUGAUCUGCCGAAUCUCCCGGAUCUUCCUGAUUUCGAGAAAACAUCGGGCAUUCUAUUCAGCAAUUUGGGAGACGCGCAAAUCAUCGAUACUUGUGAAGACAUGACCCUUACAACCACAUUUGAAUAAAGAGACGGUUAUCAGGCGAUUGUACACGAUUAAGGAAAUAAAUGUUGACUAGGAAAAAAAUUGAC